rnacentral:piRNA from 1 species
UAAUCGAUCGAGUGCCCGCACUGCUGUUA